AAGUCGUAACAAGGUUUCCGUAGGUGAACCUGCGGAAGGAUCAUUAUCGUAAAACCGAGGUGCGAGGGCUGUCGCUGACCUUUUCGGUCGUGCACGCCCGAGUGCUCUCACACAAUCCAUCUCACCCCUUGUGCACCACCGCGUGGGUCCCUCUCUGGCUCGUCCGGAGGGGGGCUCGCGUUUCACACAAACUUGAAGUAGUGUAGAAUGUCCUUUUUUGCGAUAACACGCAAUCAAUACAA
rnacentral:misc_RNA from 1 species